rnacentral:rRNA from 1 species
GAACGCUGGCGGCGUGCCUAAUGCAUGCAAGUCGAGCGACGCAUGCCGGAGGGGUAACCCACUGGUAUGACGGAGCGGCGAACGGGUGAGUAACACUUGAGCAACCUGCCCCACAGACCGGGAUAGCCCAGGGAAACCUGGAUUAAUACCGGAUGACCUCACGGAAUCGCAUGAUUCGGUGAGGAAAUGCCUUUGUGCUGUGGGAUGGGCUCGAGGCUUAUCAGCUAGUUGGUGGGGUAACGGCCUACCAAGGCAUCGACGAGUAGCUGGUCUGAGAGGACGAUCAGCCACACUGGGACUGAGACACGGCCCAGACUCCUACGGGAGGCAGCAGCAGGGAAUCUUGCGCAAUGGGCGAAAGCCUGACGCAGCAACGCCGCGUGGGGGAUGAAGGCCUUCGGGUUGUAAACCCCUUUCAGGAGGGAAGAAAUUGACGGUACCUCCAAAAGAAGCACCGGCCAACUACGUGCCAGCAGCCGCGGUAAUACGUAGGGUGCGAGCGUUAUCCGGAAUCAUUGGGCGUAAAGAGCUCGUAGGCGGUUCAGCAAGUCGGCUGUGAAAUUCCGAGGCUCAACCUCGGAACUGCAGUCGAUACUGCUGUGACUCGAGUCCGGUAGAGGAGAAUGGAAUUCAGGGUGUAGCGGUGAAAUGCGCAGAUAUCCUGAGGAACACCAGUAGCGAAGGCGGUUCUCUGGGCCGGUACUGACGCUGAGGAGCGAAAGCGUGGGUAGCAAACAGGAUUAGAUACCCUGGUAGUCCACGCC